rnacentral:lncRNA from 1 species
AGUGCGUCUUCGCACUUACGCGGAGCGGUAAUGUGAGGAAGCCUCCCGCCAAACAGAUGAGGGAGGAGGAGGAGGGGAGAGGCCAGAGAGAGAAGCGGCUUUCGGGAAGGAAAGUGUGAUCUAGUAGGUGGAAUAGUCCUCUCCAAACUUUGACCUGAGGUGUGACUAUUGAAUGACCCUCUAUUUGGAUUUGGAUUACACAAAGUUUAACGUUUUUUGGAAAAAUCCUACCUAGGUAAUGUGUAGUUCUCAAUGCAUCAUGUCAGGCAGCUUAUGAUGCCAAUUUGUCCCAUGCCUCGAGGUCUUUAGGAAAACGGUGACUCUGGAGCACAGCCCUGGAUCCCUGAUGGCAGGUGGAUGAAUCUGCUCCCCACCUGGAUGCUGCUAGUCCUUUCUCCAGGCUCCGUGACUGAAAAUGUGCUUUACUUGGCAAAAGCUGUUUCUCCUCAGAACUCUAGAAAUCAGAUCUUGGCCCACCUCUUUCAGGUGGUCAAGGGGUUUGAAGGCACGACUAUUCAUAUGAUUUGGGAGAGGUUGCUGAAUCUCCAGGAGAUACCCUUGUGAGCUUCAGACUGGGGUCUGUGUCUGGGACUGGAAGACCCCAGGACAUUGGAGAGAGGAGCAAAGCCUAGAGCAUGAGCCCCAGAAGACGCCACUGUGCCGGUGCACCACCUGGGGACUUUGGCUUAUGUGGAUUCUGUUUCAGUAGAUCUGGGUGGGAUCGAGAUCUUUUAUUUCCAACCAACACCCACGUCCCAGGACCUCACUGGAAAGAGGCGGGCGGGCGCGGGGAGCCUUCCUGAGGUUCCUGGUUCUCAAGAGCCGGGUGUAAGGAAGGAAAAUCAAAGAUUGAA